GAGGACCUCUACCAAUGGUUAGGCACGAAGGAAGGUGAAAGGGACAUCUAUAAGAUGGCUAAGAUCCGGGAGAGGAAGACGAGGGAUAUUGGCCAAGUCAAAUGCAUCAAGGACGGAGCAGGCCAACUCUUGGUGAAGGACGAAGAGAUUAAGCAUAGAUGGCGGGAGUACUUCGACAAGCUGUUCAAUGGGGAGAAUGAGAGUUCUACCAUUGAACUGAAUGACUCCUUUGAUGAGACCAGCAUGCGUUUUGUGUGGCGCAUCCAGGAGUCUGAGGUGAAGGAGGCUUUAAAAAGGAUGAAAGGAGACAAGGCGAUGGGCCCUGAUUGUAUCCCCAUUGAGGUGUGGAAAGGUCUCGGGGACAUAGCGAUAGUAUGGCUAACCAAGCUUUUCAACCUCAUUUUUCGGGCAAACAAGAUGCCAGAAGAAUGGAGGCGGAGUAUAUUAGUACCAAUCUUCAAGAACAAGGGAGAUGUUCAGAGUUGUACUAAUUACCGUGGAAUUAAGCUGAUGAGCCAUACAAUGAAGCUAUGGGAGAGAGUCAUUGAGCACCGCUUAAGAAGAAUGACAAGCGUGACCAAAAAUCAGUUUGGUUUCAUGCCUGGGAGGUCGACCAUGGAAGCCAUUUAUUUGGUACGACAACUUAUGGAGAGAUAUAGGGAGCAUAAGAAGGACUUGCAUAUGGUGUUCAUUGACUUGGAGAAGGCCUAUGAUAAGAUACCGCGGAAACUCAUGUGGUGGGCCUUGGAGAAACACAAAGUCCCAGCAAAGUACAUUACCCUCAUCAAGGACAUGUACAAUAAUGUUGUGACAAGUGUUCGAACAAGUGAUGUCAACACCGAUGACUUCCCGAUUAAGAUAGGACUGCAUCAGGGGUCAGCUUUGAGCCCUUAUCUUUUUGCAUUGGUGAUGGAUGAGGUCACAAGGGGUAUACAAGGAGAUAUCCCAUGGUGUAUGCUCUUUGCGGAUGAUGUGGUGCUAGUUGACGAUAGUCGGACGGGGGUAAAUAGGAAGUUAGAGUUAUGGAGACAA
rnacentral:rRNA from 1 species